rnacentral:tRNA from 1 species
CGGGGUGUGGCGCAGUCCGGUUAGCGCGUCUGCUUUGGGAGCAGAAGGUCCUGCGUUCGAAUCGCAGUACCCCGA